GAUGGGGUCUCCUAUGGUGGUAGGGGUGUCGAUGCAAUUAUAUCCCAUGCAGAUGAAGUAGUGAAAGGAAUAUUCAUGAUUUAUUUUGAUUGAGUUAUUUUCUGUUAUGUAAUUAGCAAUAGGAUUGCUAUUUAUGAAAUGUGCUGAUCUAUUUAUGUAAUUAAUCAACAUAUUUGGUGAACAAAAAAUAAAACCUUUCAAAUUUGAAAAUUAUUUUUGAAAUACCAAAUCCUGACCCAUCAGUUCAAAUACUUAAUUAAAAGAAUUAAGUGUUGUCUAGUA
rnacentral:lncRNA from 1 species